GACAGAGGGUGUAAACGUUGCUCGGAAUCACUGGGCGUAAAGGGCGUGUAGGCGGGACAGUAAGUCGGGCGUGAAAUCCCAGAGCUCAACUCUGGAACUGCCUUUGAUACUGGGUAUCUUGAGUAUGGAAGAGGUAAGUGGAAUUGCGAGUGUAGAGGUGAAAUUCGUAGAUAUUCGCAGGAACACCAGUGGCGAAGGCGGCUUACUGGUCCAUAACUGACGCUGAGGUGCGAAAGCGUGGGGAGCAAACAGGAUUAAGAAACCCGUUGGUGAACUUCCG
rnacentral:rRNA from 1 species